rnacentral:lncRNA from 1 species
AAGUAACCCUAUCCUCAUCAGGGCAUCUCAGAGCAUUGAAAACUUUUUCCAUUUCAUUCAGCCAAGUCUCGGCCUCUAAAGGGUCAGAAGUGCCUUUAAAAGCUGAUGGUGCAAACUUUUUGAAUUCUGCCAAACUGACAUGAUGCUCCUGCCGACUUGUAGCCCCCUGUAAAUACUGUGGAGUCACCUGCUGCUGCUGAUGUU